rnacentral:rRNA from 1 species
AAUAGAUACCCAGGUAGUCCUUGCCGUAAACGAUGUAUACUUGGUGUAGCUGGAAUCAACCCUGGCUGUGCCGGAGCUAACGCGUUAAGUAUACCGCCUGGGGAGUACAGUCGCAAGGCCGAAACUCAAAAGAAUUGACGGGGACCCGCACAAGCAGUGGAGCAUGUGGUUUAAUUCGAUGCAACGCGAAAAACCUUACCCAGGCUUGACAUGCAGUGGACAGUGCCAGAGAUGGCACCUUCCUUCGGGACCGCUGUACAGGUGCUGCAUGGCUGUCGUCAGCUCGUGCCGUGAGGUGUUGGGUUAAGUCCCGCAACGAGCGCAACCCUUAUCGUUAGUUGCCAACAUUUUAGGUGGGAACUCUAGCGAGACUGCCCGGGUUAACCGGAGGAAGGUGAGGAUGACGUAAGUCCGCAUGGCCCUUAUGUCUGGGGCUACACACGUGCUACAAUGGCCGGUCAAAAGGCAGCAAAACCGCGAGGUGAAGCAAAUCCCAAAAGCGGCCCCAGUUCAGAUUGUAGUCUGCAACUCGA